rnacentral:rRNA from 1 species
UACGUAGGGGGCGAGCGUUGUCCGGAAUUACUGGGCGUAAAGAGAGCGUAGGCGGCACUACAAGUCUCAUGUGAAAUACCCGGGCUUAACUUGGGGGUUGCAUGGGAAACUGUAGAGCUUGAGUACAGGAGAGGCAAGCGGAGUUCCUAGUGUAGCGGUGAAAUGCAUAGAUAUUAGGAGGAACACCAGUGGCGAAGGCGGCUUGCUGGACUGAAACUGACGCUGAGGCUCGAAAGCGUGGGGAGCAAACAGG